rnacentral:rRNA from 1 species
AUUGAACGCUGGCGGCAUGCCUUACACAUGCAAGUCGAGCGCGAAAGGGGGCAACCCCGAGUAGAGCGGCGGACGGGUGAGUAACACAUCGGAACGUGCCCAGUAGUGGGGGACAACCUCGAGAAAUCGAGGCUAAUACCGCAUACGACCCACGGGUGAAAGCGGGGGACCGCAAGGCCUCGCGCUAUUGGAGCGGCCGAUGUCCGAUUAGCUAGUCGGUGAGGUAACGGCUCACCAAGGCGACGAUCCGUAGCUGGUCUGAGAGGACGGCCAGCCACACUGGGACUGAGACACGGCCCAGACUCCUACGGGAGGCAGCAGUGGGGAAUAUUGGACAAGUGGGGGUAACCCUGAUCCAGCGACGCCGCGUGUGUGAAGAAGGCCUGCGGGUU